rnacentral:rRNA from 1 species
CUACGGGAGGCAGCAGUGAGGAAUAUUGCACAAUGGGGGGAACCCUGAUGCAGCAACGCCGCGUGGAGGAUGACGCAUUUCGGUGUGUAAACUCCUUUUAUAUGUCAAGAAAAUGACGGUAGCAUAUGAAUAAGCACCGGCUAACUCCGUGCCAGCAGCCGCGGUAAUACGGAGGGUGCAAGCGUUACUCGGAAUCACUGGGCGUAAAGGACGCGUAGGCGGGUUGGAAAGUCAGGUGUGAAAUCCUACAGCUUAACUGUAGAACUGCACUUGAAACUUCUAAUCUAGAGUAUGGGAGGGGGGGAUGGAAUUAGUGGUGUAGGGGUAAAAUCCGUAGAUAUCACUAGGAAUACCUAAAGCGAAGGCGAUCUCCUGGAACAUCACUGACGCUAAGGCGUGAAAGCGUGGGGAGCAAACAGGAUUAGAUACCCGGGUAGUC